rnacentral:rRNA from 1 species
CAGCAGUGGGGAAUAUUGCACAAUGGGGGAAACCCUGAUGCAGCGACGCCGCGUGGAGGAAGAAGGUCUUCGGAUUGUAAACUCCUGUUGUUGAGGAAGAUAAUGACGGUACUCAACAAGGAAGUGACGGCUAACUACGUGCCAGCAGCCGCGGUAAAACGUAGGUCACAAGCGUUGUCCGGAAUUACUGGGUGUAAAGGGAGCGCAGGCGGGAAGACAAGUUGGAAGUGAAAUCCAUGGGCUCAACCCAUGAACUGCUUUCAAAACUGUUUUUCUUGAGUAGUGCAGAGGUAGGCGGAAUUCCCGGUGUAGCGGUGGAAUGCGUAGAUAUCGGGAGGAACACCAGUGGCGAAGGCGGCCUACUGGGCACCAACUGACGCUGAGGCUCGAAAGUGUGGGUAGCAAACAGGAUUAGAUACCCUGGUAGUCCACACCGUAAACGAUGAUUACUAGGUGUUGGAGGAUUGACCCCUUCAGUGCCGCAGUUAACACAAUAAGUAAUCCACCUGGGGAGUACGACCGCAAGGUUGAAACUCAAAGGAAUUGACGGGGGCCCGCACAAGCAGUGGAGUAUGUGGUUUAAUUCGACGCAACGCGAAGAACCUUACCAAGUCUUGACAUCCUGCGACGGUGCUGGAAACAGUACUUUCCUUCGGGACGCAGAGACAGGUGGUGCAUGGUUGUCGUCAGCUCGUGUCGUGAGAUGUUGGGUUAAGUCCCGCAACGAGCGCAACCCUUAUGGUCAGUUACUACGCAAGAGGACUCUGGCCAGACUGCCGUUGACAAAACGGAGGAAGGUGGGGAUGACGUCAAAUCAUCAUGCCCUUUAUGACUUGGGCUACACACGUACUACAAUGGCGUUAAACAAAGAGAAGCAAGACCGCGAGGUGGAGCAAAACUCAGAAACAACGUCCCAGUUCGGACUGCAGGCUGCAACUCGCCUGCACGAAGUCGGAAUUGCUAGUAAUCGUGGAUCAGCAUGCCACGGUGAAUACGUUCCCGGGCCUUGUACACACCGCCCGUCACACCAUGAGAGCCGGGGGGACCCGAAGUCGGUAGUCUAACCGCAAGGAGGACGCCGCCGAAGGUAAAACUGGUGAUUGGGGUGAAGUCGUAACAAGGUAGCCGUAGGAGAACCUGCGGCUG